UUGCACGCUGGCGGCAGGCCUAACCCAUGCCAGUCGAGCGGAUGAAGGGGGCUUGCUCCUGGAUUCAGCGGCGGACGGGUGAGUAAUGCCUAGGAAUCUGCCUGGUAGUGGGGGAUAACGUCCGGAAACGGGCGCUAAUACCGCAUACGUCCUGAGGGAGAAAGUGGGGGAUCUUCGGACCUCACGCUAUCAGAUGAGCCUAGGUCGGAUUAGCUAGUUGGUGGGGUAAAGGCCUACCAAGGCGACGAUCCGUAACUGGUCUGAGAGGAUGAUCAGUCACACUGGAACUGAGACACGGUCCAGACUCCUACGGGAGGCAGCAGUGGGGAAUAUUGGACAAUGGGCGAAAGCCUGAUCCAGCCAUGCCGCGUGUGUGAAGAAGGUCUUCGGAUUGUAAAGCACUUUAAGUUGGGAGGAAGGGCAGUAAGUUAAUACCUUGCUGUUUUGACGUUACCAACAGAAUAAGCACCGGCUAACUUCGUG
rnacentral:rRNA from 1 species